ACGAACGCUGGCGGCGUGCCUAAUACAUGCAAGUCGAACGCUUCUUUUUCCACCGGAGCUUGCUCCACCGGAAAAAGAGGAGUGGCGAACGGGUGAGUAACACGUGGGUAACCUGCCCAUCAGAAGGGGAUAACACUUGGAAACAGGUGCUAAUACCGUAUAACAAUCGAAACCGCAUGGUUUUGAUUUGAAAGGCGCUUUCGGGUGUCGCUGAUGGAUGGACCCGCGGUGCAUUAGCUAGUUGGUGAGGUAACGGCUCACCAAGGCGACGAUGCAUAGCCGACCUGAGAGGGUGAUCGGCCACAUUGGGACUGAGACACGGCCCAAACUCCUACGGGAGGCAGCAGUAGGGAAUCUUCGGCAAUGGACGAAAGUCUGACCGAGCAACGCCGCGUGAGUGAAGAAGGUUUUCGGAUCGUAAAACUCUGUUGUUAGAGAAGAACAAGGAUGAGAGUAACUGUUCAUCCCUUGACGGUAUCUAACCAGAAAGCCACGGCUAACUACGUGCCAGCAGCCGCGGUAAUACGUAGGUGGCAAGCGUUGUCCGGAUUUAUUGGGCGUAAAGCGAGCGCAGGCGGUUUCUUAAGUCUGAUGUGAAAGCCCCCGGCUCAACCGGGGAGGGUCAUUGGAAACUGGGAGACUUGAGUGCAGAAGAGGAGAGUGGAAUUCCAUGUGUAGCGGUGAAAUGCGUAGAUAUAUGGAGGAACACCAGUGGCGAAGGCGGCUCUCUGGUCUGUAACUGACGCUGAGGCUCGAAAGCGUGGGGAGCAAACAGGAUUAGAUACCCUGGUAGUCCACACUGUAAACGAUGAUUACUAGGUGUUGGAGGAUUGACCCCUUCAGUGCCGCAGUUAACACAAUAAGUAAUCCACCUGGGGAGUACGACCGCAAGGUUGAAACUCAAAGGAAUUGACGGGGGCCCGCACAAGCGGUGGAGCAUGUGGUUUAAUUCGAAGCAACGCGAAGAACCUUACCAGGUCUUGACAUCCUUUGACCACUCUAGAGAUAGAGCUUCCCCUUCGGGGGCAAAGUGACAGGUGGUGCAUGGUUGUCGUCAGCUCGUGUCGUGAGAUGUUGGGUUAAGUCCCGCAACGAGCGCAACCCUUAUUGUUAGUUGCCAUCAUUUAGUUGGGCACUCUAGCAAGACUGCCGGUGACAAACCGGAGGAAGGUGGGGAUGACGUCAAAUCAUCAUGCCCCUUAUGACCUGGGCUACACACGUGCUACAAUGGGAAGUACAACGAGUCGCAAAGUCGCGAGGCUAAGCUAAUCUCUUAAAGCUUCUCUCAGUUCGGAUUGUAGGCUGCAACUCGCCUACAUGAAGCCGGAAUCGCUAGUAAUCGCGGAUCAGCACGCCGCGGUGAAUACGUUCCCGGGCCUUGUACACACCGCCCGUCACACCACGAGAGUUUGUAACACCCGAAGUCGGUGAGGUAACCUUUUGGAGCCAGCCGCCUAAGGUGGGAUAGAUGAUUGGGGUG
rnacentral:rRNA from 1 species